rnacentral:lncRNA from 1 species
CCGUGUGCGCGGCGCAGGAGAUGCACUCUAGCAGGGUCAGGGUCGCAGCGCCCCUACCGCCGACGGGCGGUGAAACAUACUGAGAAACUCUCCCAUUGCUUUCGCGACGGGUGACAAGGCCGUAAGGAAAGAAGCGCGCGCGCGGUCUAGCCCCGCCGUGCUGAC